rnacentral:tRNA from 1 species
UGGGGUGUAGCUCAGUGGUAGAGUGCUUGCCUAGCAUGCACAAGACCCUGAGUUCAAUCUCCAGCACCACAA